rnacentral:rRNA from 1 species
AGAGACAGCAGCAGCCACGGGAAUACGUAGGUGGCGAGCGUUGUCCGGAAUUAUUGGGCGUAAAGGGAGCGCAGGCGGACAUAUAAGUCCAUCUUAAAAGUGCGGGGCUCAACCCCGUGAGGGGAUGGAAACUGUAUGCCUUGAGUGUAGGAGAGGAAAGCGGAAUUCCUAGUGUAGCGGUGAAAUGCGUAGAUAUUGGGAGGAACACCGGCGGCGAAGGCGGCUUACUGGACGACAACUGACGUUGAGGCUCGAAGGCGUGGGUAGCAAACAGGAUUAGAUACCCGCGUAGUCCCUGUCUCUUAUACA